UUAUUUCUUUUGUCGUCGUUCAAUGCUCGUUCAACAUUUUGGAAUUUUCUAUGGUUUUAUCGUCGGAUUUUCUUGAAAAUAUGGAGGUACAGUUUCUUGGUGGUAUUGGUGGACAGGGCAUUUUUUCAUGUGUCAACGCAGUGCUCAGGAGAUUGAUGACAAAUUCUGCCGCAUCCCAAUACAGCUGGAGUGGGUUGAAAGGAAAGAAAACAUUUAUAAAUUUAAGGCUGUCGCAAGUUGUGCUACAUGUUGUACGGUUACAUGUGCCAGGGGCUACUGAAACUGAAGUGUCAGAGCAGAUACAAGCUUGGUUGAAGCAUGCCAAAACAAGACUUGUCAGAACAUCACAGAAGUUGCCAGUUUCUGACCAGUGUUGUAAAAAAGAAGCAUAAGAACUUAAGUGAACUACUUUGUAAUGAAUUUUACCAGGACAUGAAUUAUUGUGCCAAAUGAAUGUUUAAAAAUACCUUGCAUAUAAUAUUUUGAUACUCUACUUUGAAAACUAUAAAAUACUUUGUAGAAAUAUUGCAGAAUUAAACUUUUACUUACAUUUA